GCCCGGGUGGCGGAAUUUGGCAGACGCGCUAGCUUGAGGGGCUAGUGAGCUUCGGCUCGUGCUGGUUCGAAUCCAGUCCCGGGCA
rnacentral:tRNA from 1 species